GAGAUAACACUGCUGCUGUGGCUGCUGCUGCUGCAGCUGCAGCAGCAGAGCCAACACAGCUCCGAGGAAUGCAGACCCCGGGUGAACGCAGCCCUCCUCGCCGGUGCCAAUUGUUGAAGAAGCUGCCGGCCCUGGAAGCAUUGUGUACUGAAUUGUAAGUCAUUAUUUUUCGCUGUGAAUGGCCUUGAAGACAUCAGAAGAAAGAAAGAAAGAAAGAAAGAAAGAAAGAAAGAAAGAAAGAAAGAAAGAAAGAAAGAAAGAAAAGAAAAGUGAAGCUGUUAUGGAAGCUGAGGGGCAGAUGCCUGGUGAGAGAGCAUUCCAAAGCCUGGGGGCAAUCACCAAGAAGGCCCUGUCCCACGUGCACGACAGCGGAGCCUCCCUCAUACUUGCAGAUGGGACAGAUGGAGCUUCCUGCUACACCUCUCCAUAAGCCACCACUUCAGGAAAGGGCCUGGAAGCAGCACCAUUGUUCAUGGAGGAGAGGUCUAUCAGUGGCUACUUGUCUGGUGGCUAUAGGCCGUCUCUGGCCUCACAAGCAAGAUCCCUCUCGAUACCAGUUGCAGGUAAGAAAGUAGGAGAGAGGACGUGCCCUCAUCCACCUCUUGCCUGUGGGCUUCUCAGAGGCAUCUGGUGGGCCAAUGUGGGAAACCAAAUGCAGGACUAGAUAGGCCUUGGGCCUGAUCCAGCAGGGCUGUUCUUAUGUUCCUCAAUGAUUUUCCCAAGGUACAGGAUCCACGUAGAUCAGGGCUGCACAACAUUGGCCCUCCAACUGUUGUUGGACUACAUCUCCCAUCAUCCACUGUGGCCAAUAGGCAGGGAUGAUGACAGCUGCAAGCCCACAACAGCUGGAGGGCUGGAGUUGUGCAGCCCUCACUUGGAUCAAUGGAGAAGGAGAAAGACUACCCCUUCCACCAUACUGAUGCUGUUGCUCGGGGUGGGGGGGGAAUCACAUGACCAGAGCUCUCCUUUGCAUAGCAAAAGACCCCAGGUUCAGGGGAAUCUAUUAUAUUAACUAGCUGACCCCGCACAGAGCAUCUGUGCAGUUGUGCACUGAGCCUGUGGCAUCCCCCCGCAGCGCUCUCGCUCGCUCCCUCCUUCUUGGUCGUGGCUGCAGCAUUGCUGCCGCCUAUUAGCCAAGCUACAGCCCCCUAUACACAGAGACCUCCCCACCCUCAACCAAGCCCCACUCCUGCUCCUCCCCCCAGGAGCAGCAGCAGUGGUUGACCAGGCCAUUCCUCGCUGCUGCUGUCACCACCAUGGCUGCUCGUAACAGUUGCAUUCCAACUGACCUUAACCAUCACAGAUAGGCUCCUCCCCACUAUCUGCAUAUGGAAACCCCACUGCCCAAUCACCAUGGUGCUUCUGCUCUCACAGGCUCCUUAUCCCUAUCUGCAUAUGGAAUCCACACUGCCCAAUCAGGUUCUUCUGCUUGCAAACUCUGUCAGCCAAUCGCCUCCUUUCUACCACGUCCCCACGCAUGGCCCAUCUUGGAGAAUUAAUAAUAUAGAUUCUCCUGGGUGUGCCUUGGAAUGUGCGUCCCAGAGCCCACCUGAUUGGCUGGGCAGCAGACGCUCCUGAUUGGCUGAGGUGCACCCAGGAGGAUUAGUUGUCACAGUGGCAGCCCAGCCGUGGAGGCCAGAGGUGGUGGACCCGGCCCGGCCAUGGAGGCAAGGCCCAGGAGUGGGGGAAGAAAGUGGCGGUGGGGGGGUGAAAUUGACAGUGGGGAGGAGAGGUGGCUGGGCCUGGAAGCAGAAACUGGUGCAGAAGUGGUGGGGCAGAGGUAACCGCUGGCCCCAAAGAGCGCACAGAUGCUCUGUGCAGAGUCAGCUAGUAACUGCACUAAAGCAGGCCACAUCUGCUUCUGAGGCAGCCCUUAAGCCCAUAGGCACAUAGGCAGCUGCCUUAUACUGUCAGACAAUUGGUCCUUGUUGCUCAGUAUUGUCUGUCUAUACAGAAUGGCAAUGGCUUCUCCAAGGUUACA